UGCAAGUCGAACGUGAAAGCACUUCGGUGUGAGUAGAGUGGCGGACGGGUGAGUAACGCGUGGGAAUCUACCCAGUAGUGGGGGACAACUACCGGAAACGGUAGCUAAUACCGCAUACGCCCUAUGGGGGAAAGGCUUCGGCCGCUAUUGGAUGAGCCCGCGUCAGAUUAGCUAGUUGGUAGGGUAAAAGCCUACCAAGGCAACGAUCUGUAGCUGGUCUGAGAGGACGAACAGCCACACUGGGACUGAGACACGGCCCAGACUCCUACGGGAGGCAGCAGUGGGGAAUAUUGGACAAUGGGCGAAAGCCUGAUCCAGCAAUGCCGCGUGUGUGAAGAAGGCCUUAGGGUUGUAAAGCACUUUCAGUGGGGAGGAAAGGUUAUAAGUUAAUACCU
rnacentral:rRNA from 1 species